GUGAUGAACAGCAAUGUGGAAGUGAUAUCUAUGUUCAUUUCAUUUGGCUCCAAGAAAGGAUUGAACAGAAAGCCAGAAUUUGUACCAGAAUGCUGUUCUAUGGGCAGGGGAUGGAGAGAUGAGCAGCUGCCUGUGGAAGGAGUGGGGGAGUCUGAGCUACCACAGCAGCACUUCUGCUUGCCCGGGAAACUAAGAACUGUUGCAUGCAGCAUAACUACUGGGUGAGUGGGCUCAUCCACGUUGAGCGACUAUUUCUGGUCCUGCCGACCUUCCAUCACAGCUUGACCUUUCUAAGACAUGGAGGGAGCCUUGCAGUGACACAAACAGCAGAAAACUUCUGGAGGGUCACAGUUCCUGUGGCUCCUCAGGGGCCUGGGCAAACUCCCUUGCUCAUCAGAGAAGCCCGAUUACUCUCCAGCUCUUAUCUACUCAGCAGAUCUCCUCUUGGAAGAGUGAGUCAAUUGCUCAUAGUCUUGACAAAGCCACUGCAAACUGUGUUAAUUGAAGGCUUGAAAUUAUAGUGGUGAGUCCUACUGCAGUCUACAAAACCACUGGCAGGCUCAGAGAGCAAUGUGAAGCCCACAAAUUAGACAGAUGUAAAAUCAGGGGUGGAGUCUCAGCAGCUGAGAGAAGCUCUCUCUCCAUGGAUAUCUCUCUAGCUUUCUAUUUCUGAGCUACGCCAGAUGAGAUCUAUCACGACACCACUGUCUCUCUGUUCAACUGAGUAACAGGGACUAGAAAGGUCAUCUUGUGUUCCAUGGAGUGAUUUGUAAAGGAAGGGAUUACUGCUCAGAUGAACCUCCACCCAUCCACCCAGCAAAGGAGCAAACAGGCAAGGUGAAUCUCAGCUCAAGGAUGUGAAGAAAGAGGAACACUCCUCCAUUACUGGUGGAAUUGCAAACUGGUACAACUACUCUGGAAAUCAAUCUGAUGGUUCCUCAGAAAAAUUAGAAAUAGCUCUACCUGAAGACCCAGCUAUACCACUCCUGGGCAUAUUACCCAAAAGAUGCUCCAGCAUAUCACAAGGACAUGUGUUCCACUAUGUUCAUAGCAGCCUUAUUUGUAAUAGCCAGAAGCUGGAAACAACCCAGAUGUCCUUCAACCAAAGAAUGGAUACAGAAAAUGUGGUUCAUUUAUACAAUGGAACAGUAUUCAGCUAUUAAAAAUAAGGACAUCAUGAAUUUUUUAGGCAAAUAGAUGGAACUAGAAAAUAUCCUCCUGAGUGAGGUAAACUAGACUCGAAAGGAUAUGCAUGGUAUGUACUUACUGAUAAGUGAAUAUUAGCCAAAAAGUACAGAAUACCCAGGAUACAAUCCACAGACCGAAAGUUAAACAAGAAAGAAGACACGAGUGAGGAUGCUUCAAUCCUAAUUAGAAGGGGAAACAAAAUAAUCAUGGGAGGCAGAGGGAUGGAGAAAUCUGGGUAGGAGAGGGGAGGGAGAGGAGAAAAGAGGGACAGGAUCAGUUAUAGGGUGGAUGAACAGGAGUGAAACCCACAGGACCAGGAGAAUGAAUGGAAAUAGGCAGCUCCUGGGGGUGGGAGGUGAGGCGCCCUCUAGAAAGUCCCAGGAACCUGGGAGGUGAGAGACUUGCAGGACUCAAUAGGCGUGAACUUAACUAAAAUGUCCAACAGUGAGGAGAGGGAACUGGCAGAGUUCAUCUCCAGAGAUAGACAGAGCUCCAAGUGAAGGGAACAGGGUUACCAACCCACAGUCAAAAUUUCUGGCCCAGAAUUGUUCCGGACUAAAAGACCUUCAGGGACAAAAAUGGAGAAGAGACUGAAGGAAAGGCUGUCCAGGGACUUGCCCAGCUUAGGAUCCAUCUCAUGGUGGGGGGAGGGGGCACCAAGGCCUGACACUAUUAUUGAUGCUAUGAUGUGCUUACAGACAGGAGCCUAGCAUGGCUGUCCUCUGAGAGGCCCUACCAGCAGCUGACUGAGACAGAUGCAGAUACUUACACGCACCCAUAACCAUUGGAGUGAAUUUGGGAACCCCUAUGAUUGAAUUAGAGGAAAGGUUGAAGAAGCUGACCAAGCAGUUUUGAAGGAUGGGGGCGGGAGGGACGGGACAGGGGUCUCAAGAGUUCAGUUAGCAUCACAAGCUCUGAGAAGACACAGAGCCAAAUGUUCUAGCUCCUUUGCAUGCCAACUCUCUUCUCUGCCAGUGAAGUUACUGAGCGCAUCCUGGCAUUACAAGUCACAGAGGAUCCCUAGCUGGCCAGAGGAGACUUAGGGCAGAUGCUAAGGACUUGUUAGACAGGAACCCAAAUAAAUAAACCCAAGUAAACAAAAUGUACGGGUACCAUGAGCGCAACCAUAAUGAACAUCGAAAGCUGGAGCGUUUGUCAGCCAGACCUCGCCAGCCAAAAGCUUCAGGCUGAGUGACAAGACAAGCAUCUCCAGCAAACUGUCACUUUGACUUUUUUAAGAAGAGUGACUGAAAAGGGUUAAAGUGGAAAUGGAGCCCAGAGGCUGCCAGAGGAGUGCAGAGCUCAUGGGAGGGUUGGCCUUCCAACAGUCUAGUCAGGGAAGUGGGUGGAUCCAAGAGAACAUGGAUUUCUCCCUGGAUGACUGCUUAUAGGACAAACCAUUCAAUGAGGAAGGGGAGCCAGAUUAACCUAGGGGCAGGCAGAGGAGACGAGACAAGGUUUCCUUCCUCCUCAGUACUUCUGGUCUACCACCUACAGGAACGGGAAAUGUCAGGUCCCCGAGGAGAAGCCAGGAAGGGCCUGGCUGCCUGGCCCCACUCACAUCCUGAAGCUUGGAGACACUCGUGUCUAAAUUAGGUGUUAAAGGUGUGGGAGUGACCAACGCUGGCUGAAAACAAGCUAAGACCUGGAAUCUGAAACAGACUCAGUAAAACUGGUUGAUAGAGAGGAACCAACCACCAAAGCUUACCCACAGAAACUGCGCACUGUGAAAGCUGAGCAGACAGAUUUCUUUACUCCUUCUGGAGGUCAUUUGCAGGUUCUCUUGCCUCGCCCACUUAGCAUGUGAACCCCUGGGUGAGUCUGAGCCCUUCCAUUCUCUAAUGAGUUCCUGGAUGGUCAUGUUUCUAUCCCUCCAGCUUUGUCUCAAACAUUUGCGCAAAGGGCCUCGCUGUGACUCCCAAGUCCAUAGACAUUUAAUUAACACUGUCACCAGGGUCCAAAGCGUGCCUCACAGAUGAGAGCCACGGAGGGUCACACAGAGUGAGGACUCACUGAGACAAGCCCUUGGCAAGGACAGAGAUCUGCUCUUGCACACAGGACCCUGGGAAGCAAUGCCACUGGCCUAAGAGAACACCAGUAAGAAGAGUUCAAAGAACCCUGGCAUGUGGAUAUUUUAAACAGGAUAACACACAAACACACACACACACACACACACACACACACACACACACACACACACACACACUUUCUGAAGAGCGGCUGGGAGAUGCUCAGAAUGAUGAGCACCAGUCACCUUGACCCCCAGACAUGGCAGGGGUGAGGGGCAGGGGGUAGAGGUAGGGGACAAGGACUUGAUUGGUAAUGACGACUUAGAUCUGAGAUUCUUCUUUCACUCUGCUUAAAGUGGGGUUCGACAGGUUAAACUGCUUCGGAUGGCUGCUUCCCUGAGUCUCUGGUGUCCUUUGUCACCGGUGUGACCUCUCAGCUCCUCUGCUCAUUAGGGUCCAGUUUGGAUGCCAGCCAGAAAAACAGAUUGCUCAUCACGGGAUAGCUACAUAGAGGUGCACCUCCUCUCGGAGUACUUGAGGCCGAUUGUCUGGCCUUCUUGCUGAGUCUCACUACCCUGUCUUUAUCCAGUUCUCUCAUUUCCAGCCAUUCCUGAGGGAUUCUUUUCUCUUGUCCCCUUAACCCUCUUUAAUAUUUGAAAUCUCUCUAGGUUUUUCUCUUGGCUUACUCCCUUUGUUCCAGUUGCUUCCUCGGAAAUCUCAUCUAUAGCACAACUUCAAACACCAUCUAUACAUACAUCUGUAUACCUUGAUGUUCAAGCCUAGCUUCUCUUCCCAGGAAUGAAGCUCGCAGCUGGACCCUUACAUUGCUUUAUCUUAAUGUCACAUUGAUUCCCAAGCACCCAUGGGCUAGGGCCAAGCUCAUUGCUCUAUUCCACUCCCCUGCUUUCCUACCUCCAGCUCAGAAAACGUCAUCUACCCAUAGCCAACUCUUUCCCUAGGAGCUGGCCAAGCCUCAUCCUCACUUUCCCUAGCACAUUCCAGUUGGUAAAGUAGCUAGCAACGGAAAGAGUCUGGGGUGUGGAGGACAGGGAGGGGGGACUUCAGAACAAGUCACAGUUUCCCUUCCUCCUCAGCACACAGGGUUUACUGCCGACAGGAAAUGAAAAUGUCAGGUCCCGGAGGAGAAGCUGGGAAGGGCCAAGCAGAAGACUAAAACCCUUAGUAAGACUGGCACGUGCUCUGGGUCAGAUGCCGCCCACCCCACUGCCUGGUGUCCAACCAUUGUCCAAAGCUGCAGAGUCUUAUAGUACUUUAUCAUGCUAAGGAGUAUGCAGACAGAAGGAGACAGACACGGGCUUCUUUCCUUCAUCUCUUUCAUUGUGAGACUUUUGCUUACUUGUUUGUUUUUUAGGAGAUAAAUAUCUGCUUGAUAGGUGGAGGCCAAUUUCUUUAACUUCUGAGAAGAGGAAGGUGCGGACAGAGAGAAAGUAAGCAGCUGUCAGGUUGGGGUGACAGCAAAGAGGGGGAACCACACAGAAGGGAGGAAGGAAAAGAGUGGAAAGUUGUGUAUGGUCAGGUGAUUGGCCUAUCAGACACCAAGAGAAGGAAGCUGAGAUGGGCAGAAGGUCAGAGACAUGUUUUUAAAAACUGUGGUUUGAGACAGCUUGAGUAAAGAGACCCUGGGUGAAUGGUCAAGGGUGACAUGGAGAUGCACCCAACCCGAGUCUCAGCAGACAGAAUCAGGGAACUUGAGCUAACUCCAUCUGAGAAUCCCGUUUGCUUCCAAAUGUUUCUCAAGUCCAUAUCAGGCACAAGCAAGAAACAUCUGUGGCCCGUGCUAGACACCCCUUUGUCCUGUGCCUUCACCCCUAGAUCUUCCCUCCUGCUUCGUUUCUGCUUGGUUCAGUCACGGUCUUGGUUCACGGAGGACGUGAUCAUCUUCCAGACCCACCGGGUAACAUACACCUGCCUGCCCUGCUAUAUAGUUAGUGGUCCCACGGUCCAUGGUAUAGGCAAGUCUUACAACCAUGGAAUCCUAAGUCCUGUGUGGUUUUAUGUCAAGUUGAUACCAGAUCAAGUCAUUUUGGAAGCUAGAACCCUCAAUUAAGGAAAUGCCCCCACUAGAUGGGUCUGUGGUUUAUUUCUCAAUUACUGAUUGGUGGGGAGAUGGGGACAGUCUACUAUGGGUGGUGGCACCCCCAGGCAGGUGGUCCUGGGAUACAUAUAAAAGCAAGCUGAGCAAGCCAGGUGAAACAAGCCAAUAAGCAGCACUUCUCCAUGAUCUCUGUUUUAGCUCCUGCCUCCGAGUUCCUGCUUUGAGUUCCCACCCUGACUUCCCUCAGUGAUAAGACUGGGGUGUUGAAGUGUAAGCAAGAGGAACCCUUUCCUCCACAAGUUGCUUAUGGUCAUGUUUUAUAACAGCAAUAGAAACCUAACCUCUAACAUCUUCCUUUCAUGUCUAUUUAGAAACAUAAAGUGUAUGCCGCUCUUUGUGUGGGUUAGGACCACCCAGAGAGAGAAAGGCUGGAGUGGAGAGCAGCCUGGCGGUAGAGCCCUUGCCUCGAGGGCCUGGCCAUUUGAGUUCAGUCCCCAGCACCACCGCCAAAAAAGAAAACAAGGUGAAAUUAAAAAGUACAAAUGUGAGUCGGAGAGGUGGCUCAGCAGUUAUGAGCACAGAGAUCUGACAGAGGGCCUGGCCUCUGUUUCUAGUACCCAUGUGGUGUGACUCACAACUGGCUGUAACUUUAGCUCCAGGGAGCUCAUAAGGGCCUCCAUGAACCUCCACACUCCUGUGCUCACAAUCAGCACACACACACACACACACACACACACACACUUUCACUUUUAAAAUUUUGACUGUAUAUAGUUGGUCACAGCUAGAAUCCCAAUACACUAGAGGUGAAGGUAAAAGGUCAGAGGAUCAAAUCCAUCCUCGGCUACAUAGCAAGUUCCUGCAAGCUCAGGCUACAUGAGAUUCUGACUCAAAAAUAAAGACUAAAAACAACUACAAAAAUAAAUGACUAAUUUUUUUUCUCAAUUUUUAAUACCUAAUUCUUUACCUGUGGGGGAUGG